AGACGUCUACGAGUUUGACAUGGCUCAGAACGAACGCUGGCGGCAGGCCUAACACAUGCAAGUCGAGCGAACCCUUCGGGGUUAGCGGCGGACGGGUUAGUAACGCGUGGGAAUAUACCCUUUGGUACGGAAUAGCCUCGGGAAACUGAGAGUAAUACCGUAUGUGCCCUUCGGGGGAAAGAUUUAUCGCCAAAGGAUUAGCCCGCGUUGGAUUAGAUAGUUGGUGGGGUAAUGGCCUACCAAGUCUACGAUCCAUAGCUGGUUUGAGAGGAUGAUCAGCAACACUGGGACUGAGACACGGCCCAGACUCCUACGGGAGGCAGCAGUGGGGAAUCUUAGACAAUGGGCGCAAGCCUGAUCUAGCCAUGCCGCGUGGACGAUGAAGGCCUUAGGGUUGUAAAGUCCUUUCAGAUGGGAAGAUAAUGACGGUACCAUCAGAAGAAGCCCCGGCUAACUCCGUG
rnacentral:rRNA from 1 species